rnacentral:rRNA from 1 species
GACGAACGCUGGCGGCGUGCUUAACACAUGCAAGUCGAACGCACAGUUUAUACCGUAGCUUGCUACACCAUAGACUGUGAGUUGCGAACGGGUGAGUAACGCGUAGGUAACCUGCCUGGUAGCGGGGGAUAACUAUUGGAAACGAUAGCUAAUACCGCAUAAUAUUAAUUAUUGCAUGAUAAUUAAUUGAAAGGUGCAAUUGCACCACUACCAGAUGGACCUGCGUUGUAUUAGCUAGUAGGUGAGGUAACGGCUCACCUAGGCGACGAUACAUAGCCGACCUGAGAGGGUGAUCGGCCACACUGGGACUGAGACACGGCCCAGACUCCUACGGGAGGCAGCAGUAGGGAAUCUUCGGCAAUGGACGAAAGUCUGACCGAGCAACGCCGCGUGAGUGAAGAAGGUUUUCGGAUCGUAAAGCUCUGUUGUAAGAGAAGAACGGGUGUGAGAGUGGAAAGUUCACACUGUGACGGUAUCUUACCAGAAAGGGACGGCUAACUACGUG